CUCCUACGGGAGGCAGCAGUCGAGAAUUUUUCUCAAUGGGGGAAACCCUGAAGGAGCGACGCCGCGUGGAGGAUGAAGGCUUUCGGGUUGUAAACUCCUGUCAUUUGAGAACAAGGUGCACAUGUUAACUGCAUGUGCAUUGAUAGUAUCAGAAGAGGAAGGGACGGCUAACUCUGUGCCAGCAGCCGCGGUAAUACAGAGGUCCCAAGCGUUGUUCGGAUUCAUUGGGCGUAAAGGGUGCGUAGGUGGCGCCAUAAGUCGGGUGUGAAAUCUCGGGGCUUAACCUCGAAACUGCAUUCGAUACUGUGGUGCUUGAGGACUGGAGAGGAGACUGGAAUUUACCGGUGUAGCAGUGAAAUGCGUAGAGAUCGUAAGGAAGACCAGUGGCGAAGGCGGGUCUCUGGACAGUUCCUGACACUGAGGCACGAAGGCCAGGGGAGCAAACGGGAUAGAUACCCCGGUAGUCCUGGCAGUAAACGGUGCACGUUUG
rnacentral:rRNA from 1 species